rnacentral:lncRNA from 1 species
CGAAAAAGAACUUGAUAUAACUUUUUUGCUCUAUGGCGGUGGAGGAGUUAUGGGAUGAAUGUCAGUUCAACGGAUAUUUGUUGUUGAACGUGAACGUAUGUGGGACUUGAGGCUGUGAGUAUGGCCGGUUCUGGACGAUGAAAGUUCGUGAGAUGAAGUUAUAAUAACCGACUGUCACGGAAAUCGCAAGCGAAUCUACUGGGAAGAAAAAAGUUUAAAGAGAUGAGCAAAUAAUAACCUGCAAGAGCGAUGCGGAGAUAAGAAAAUGAUCCAUGCAAAUGUGAUACUUCAGCUUGAGGAUAACUUUUAAUUCUUUAUUGUAAUAAAAGUAAGGCGCACGAAGGAAAACGCGGAUCGUGCACCGUGACAUUCUGGAAAAGCUUCCAUGAGUUUUAAACGGAGCCGAUAUUGAGAAGUGAGAGAGAGUCAGUGAUAUAUCUGUAGCCGGCCUCGGUCGUACUUUUCUCGGAGUGAGCGAUGGGGGCCGCGCCGGGCUCGGGAUGGGAGGAGGGAGAGUUCGAGUUCAAGCUCGUGUUCGAGGAGGAUCCGCCGCGCCAGAGCCGCCGCUGCGGCCCAGAAGAGACCGAGAGCGGCCAGACGCACCAUGAGCCAGCCGGUACCCACUUGACUUCCGCACAGGCUGGCCAACCCGUGGGUAUCCCACCGUCAGCCGGUCGCAGGGCUGGGAUGCAUUCCCCACCCCCCAGGCGGGCAUUAGUCAGGGAGUUCAGUGGGACUUAUGAGAGUCUGCCAGCAAGAUCAAUACAGGUAUCAGAGUCUAGAGUGCUUGAGUGCCCCAGCAUCCAGAUCACCACUAUCUCCCCU